rnacentral:rRNA from 1 species
CACGUAGGGCGCGAGCGUUGUCCGGAAUUAUUGGGCGUAAAGAGCUCGUAGGCGGCUUGUCGCGUCGGAUGUGAAAGCCCGGGGCUUAACUCCGGGUCUGCAUUCGAUACGGGCAGGCUAGAGUUCGGUAGGGGAGAUCGGAAUUCCUGGUGUAGCGGUGAAAUGCGCAGAUAUCAGGAGGAACACCGGUGGCGAAGGCGGGUCUCUGGGCCGUUACUGACGCUGAGGAACGAAAGCGUGGGGAGCGAACAGG